GCACAGAGUUAGCCGUCCCUUCCUCUGCCACUACAAUCAACUCACGACGUGUUAGGUCGUAAGCAUUGUUCGCGGCUGACAGGAGUUUACGAGCCGAAACCCUUCUUCCCCCACGCGGCGUCGCUCCAUCAGGGUUUCCCCCAUUGUGAAAAAUUCUCGACUGCUGCCACCCGUAGGUGUCUGGACCGUGUCUCAUUUCCAGUGUGGCUGGUCGUCCUCUCAGACCAGCUACCCGUCUUAGCCUUGGUGAGCCGUUACCUCACCAACUAGCUGAUAGGCCGCGGGCCCAUCUUGAAGUGCCAGGUCUUACGAUCCCCAGCUUUGAAUAUCACAAAAUGCUUCCUAACAUUCACAUGCGGUAUGAGCUCCGAUUUCUCGGAGUUAUCCCCCGCUUCAGGGGAGGGUGCCCACGUGUUACGCACCCUUGCGACGCUCAAAACUCCGAAGAUUGCUACCCGGAAUAUCACGCUCGACUUGCAUGUCUUAUCCACGCCGCCAGCGUUCGUU
rnacentral:rRNA from 1 species